rnacentral:rRNA from 1 species
GAUGAACGCUGGCGGCGUGCCUAAUACAUGCAAGUCGAGCGAACAGACGAGGAGCUUGCUCCUCUGACGUUAGCGGCGGACGGGUGGGUAACACGUGGAUAACCUACCUAUAAGACUGGGAUAACUUCGGGAAACCGGAGCUAAUACCGGAUAAUAUAUUGAACCGCAUGGUUCAAUAGUGAAAGACGGUCUUGCUGUCACUUAUAGAUGGAUCCGCGCCGCAUUAGCUAGUUGGUAAGGUAACGGCUUACCAAGGCAACGAUGCGUAGCCGACCUGAGAGGGUGAUCGGCCACACUGGAACUGAGACACGGUCCAGACUCCUACGGGAGGCAGCAGUAGGGAAUCUUCCGCAAUGGGCGAAAGCCUGACGGAGCAACGCCGCGUGAGUGAUGAAGGUCUUCGGAUCGUAAAACUCUGUUAUUAGGGAAGAACAAAUGUGUAAGUAACUAUGCACGUCUUGACGGUACCUAAUCAGAAAGCCACGGCUAACUACGUG